rnacentral:lncRNA from 1 species
CUUUGGUUGAAAUAAAGGUAAAUUCUGUACAUUUUUUUUAAAAGUACCAAUUUAACAAAGACUAAUAGGGAAAAAUCAAUGGUGGUAUUACACCUAUUUAGGGAAACUACAUGUGCACUCGUGACCUUAUUGUACUUUCAUUUUUAAAAGUUAUUAAUAAACCAGUUCAUACAUUGUAAACAUGGACUAUUCGGAAUGGAUUGAGACACAGAAAGCACGUUUGAGGUAAAAUUGCCUUGAAAUGGGGGUUUACGGGUGUUUUCUAAGUCAAAUGGGUGGACAGACAAAGCUGUAUUUAGUUUACUGUGUUAAAUUUUAAAUAAUACCCUAACAGUUUUGUUUAUACAACAUGUGAAUUUUUUUAUUUCAGUGUUCAACCAUGUUCUGAAGAGCAUUCUGUUGAAAAAUCUUAUAUGUGAAUUGGUCUGCAGAUGACACUUCAGCAUUAAAGUAAGUAUCAACUAUCAUCAUGUUUUUUGUUUUUUUUUGGCCGCAAAAGUUUACAAUUUGCCAUUGUGCCAUCUACAUUUUGCACAGACAAUAAAUCAUCUAAACACUUAUUUGCCCUGGAUUUAUACACAUCAGAAUCCAGUCUCACAUACUUAAACUUUAUAAUUCUUACCAAUUAUUUUUUGUACCAGCAUUCCAAGGGACAUAACCCUUUUUAAAAACAUUUUGAGGUAUUUUUU